GAUGUAGCUCAGUGGUAGAGCAAUUCCCUCGCAUGAACAUGGCCCUAGGUUUGAUUCCCUAGUACAUCA
rnacentral:tRNA from 1 species